rnacentral:misc_RNA from 1 species
GGGCUAUCAAGUGUUAUCAGAGAGCUCUUAGCCUUAAUCCAGACGAUUCAAUUGCUGGGGAAGCAGUUUGUGAUAUACUGGACGCAACUGGAAAAGAGACCUUGGAGAUAGCUGUAUGCCGUGAAGCUUCACUCAAGUCGCCCAGGGCCUUUUGGGCUUUAUGCAGAUUGGGUUACCUUCUGGUCAACCAAAACAAGUGGUCCGAAGCCGUGCAGAGUCUUCAGCAGGCCAUCAGAGGCUAUCCCACAUGUGCUGAUUUGUGGGAGGCCCUGGGUCUAUCCUACCAGCAAAUGGGCAUGUUUACAGCCGCUGUUAAGUCCUAUGGAAGAGCUAUUGAAUUGGAGGAAUCACGAGUAUUUGCACUGGUAGAAAGCGGAAAUGUCUAUUUGAUGCUUGGUUCGUUUCGGAAGGGAAUAGAGCAGUUUCGACAAGCUUUACAAAUCUCACCUCUGAAUUUGUCCGCGCAUCACGGGCUUGCCUCUGCACUCCUUAGUUUGGC